UACGGGGGGGGCAAGCGUUGUUCGGAAUUACUGGGCGUAAAGGGCUUGUAGGCGGCCAACUAAGUCCGACGUGAAAUCCCCAGGCUUAACCUGGGAACUGCGUCGGAUACUGGAUGGCUUGAAUUCGGGAGAGGGAUGCAGAAUUCCAGGUGUAGCGGUGAAAUGCGUAGAUAUCUGGAGGAAUACCGGUGGCGAAGGCGGCAUCCUGGACUGACAUUGACGCUGAGGAGCGAAAGCUAGGGGAGCAAACGGG
rnacentral:rRNA from 1 species